GGUGUGUGUCUGUGUGUCAGUUCAUCACUCUUUCAUGUGACACUGACAUGGUGCUGCUCAUCCCCCUCAUCUUUACACUCUUUCUGGAGGUAAAAUCUCAAGGAUUCUCCGAUCAGUUUUGGCUGACAGCAUCUCCAGCAUCAGUUCAGAAAGACUCAAGCGCAGUGCAGCUGACACAUGAUGAACGUGACACUCAGUCUGAUUUGAAUGAGCGGCCUGACAUUAAAAUCAUCCAUGAUUCUGAAAAGAGUGAAUUUAGAAUUCUUUGUGACAUACCAGGAUCAGAUGAUGGUGGUUAUAAUUGUUUUCUUUCUCUUGGAGAUGAAUAUCCACAAUUUAAAAAGAUACAAUCUCAUGAACUGUCUGGAAAAACACAGUGUCGUUUUACAGUCUUGGAAUAUGAAUUUUCAAAUAAUCUGAAGUCAGUGGAGAAUAAAGUAGUGAGCUGCAGUUAUUCUCCAAAAAAUGCAUCAUCCAAACGAUUAUAUAGUGAGAAGUACAACCUAACAGGUUUGUAAUGUUGGUGUUAUCUUCACAUUUUCAGUUUGUAUAAUGUUUUUAAUGGAGAUUAUUCCUCUAUAGCUUUUUUUCCUGUGAAAAUUCAGUCACCACCAACAACAAAGGGAUCAUUAUCAACUCUGGUUACAGAAUCCAGUACUUGUUAUGAGACCACAAUAAACCCUACAACUGUUCUCAAAGUCGCAGCUGCUGGUGAAAAUGCUGUCCAUAGAACACCAAGAACAAAAACAUUGCUCAUCCUGACACUGGCAGCCACAAGCGGAGGGAUUUUCCUGACCGGACUCAUGGGCAUCUGUCUGUGCUACAUCAGACUGAAACCAAGGAAGAAGAGCCCUGUGAAUACUUCUGUAGCAGCCAUUCCCCAGACCUCAGAUGAUAUUGACGCCAAUGAGGAACGUUCUGAAGAAAAUGGGAUGAAACUGUACCACGUGUACUGCACCAUCCCUGAUGUCGCUGCAGACUCUCAUGUGAUAUACAGUCUGGCACAAAUGCCAAACCAUCCUCUGCCAGUUUAAGAGUUUAUCAUUAUAUUAUAAUAAUUAAACUAAUUGACAUUAAAAGAGAAUGUGGAAGUUUCACUUUCAAUCAAACUAUUUGAUUUUUCUAAUAAUCAAAAACAAAAAGCAAUGCCAGGAAAAAGUGAUGUCAGAUAUUAUUGGUCAAAUGGCAUGCACAUUUUAACUUGAUCACUGCUGUGCAAUAAAAAAA
ensembl:lncRNA